UCCCUGGUGGUCCAGUGGUAAGACUCUGCACUGCCAAUGCAGGGGAUCCAGGUUAGAUCCCUGGUCUGGGAA